AGUUCCGCGCGAUGUGGCCCGUCUUGUUGCAGUUGUAGCACGACGGCUCGUCCGGGCUCUGCGCGCACUCGCGCGCUAUGUGCCCCGUGCCGUUACAUCUGACAAAACGGAAAUUCAAUUGUUCAUUUUCAUCCUACACAGAGAUACGGAACCCUAUGCAUGAAGCAGGGAAUACAAGAGGUCACCUGUAGCAACGGUCGGCCUCCUCCUUGCAGUCCCUCGCGAAGUGCCCCGUGCGGUUGCAUUUGAAGCACUUCUCGCGCUGGCGACUGAAGCCAGAGUCGCGCCCGGCGACUCCGCCCUGCGUGCACUCGCGGGCGAAGUGCCCCGUCCGGUUGCACUUGUAGCAUACACUCGAACUCAUC